GGCUGGUCUAAAGGUGUGAGUUAUCUCAAUUGAUUGUUCACAGUCAGUUACAGAUCAAACUCCUUGUUCUACUCUUUCCACCUUUCUCACUACUGCACUUGACUAGUCUAAA
ensembl:Y_RNA Y_RNA Y RNA